UACUUCUUAUCCUUCUGGUUGUUUUUUUCCUGCUUUUUUUUUAUAAAAAAUUAUGAAAACUAAACCUUCAGAAGCAAUUUAGCCAUUCUAUUUUGGUCCCUCCCCUUUACGUAGAGUUUUCUCAAAUCUCUGCUCUCUCAAAUGUUGGACCAGCUUCUAACAACAGAGUAUGCCACCUUACCCCUCCUUCUGUCUAGUCAUGCUUAUAAGUGGCAUUUUCUUCUGCAUGAAUUAUGAAUGUCUAGAUGAGAUUAUCUGAUGUAAUAUAGAAAUUUAUACAAUUUAGUCUCUAGGUUGGAUUUUGGGUUUUCAUAGAUAUGAAUCUCAAUGCCUCCCGAAUCAAAAUUUUAAUAUCAUUGCUCUUCAGCUUUUUUGUUCCCCCCCCUAAUGAGUCAUUGUUCUUGUAUGGAUGAAUGUGAAGAUGCUAUUAUCAAUUUAUAGUCCCGCCAUUUACAAUCUAAUAUCUUCAAUCUUGGUUUUUGGGUUUAUAUAGAAAACUCAUUGCCAACUGAUUCAAAAGUUCAGCUUGAAUGUAAUCAGUGUCAUGUUUGCACUUGUCGAGUUUAGAGAUUUGUUUUUUUUAUCAGCUAUGGUAAAAAUUAAUGAAUUUGAUGCUAUAAUUGAUGUACCUUGGAAAAACAAUGUAUGCAUGGCAUGCUGUGGCGUCAUGGACAUGGGAUGCAUAAGACGAAACACUUGGGAGUUGUAGAAUGAUAUUUGAUGGAUGUUCCCUGAUUGUACAAUCCUAGGUGAUGACUGCCCAUUAACAUGCACUGAAGUGGGGAUUGGGAAGAGGCACUGAACCCUAUCAGGCCACCUUCGCCUCGAAGGGUUUCUGAAAACACUGAUGCGAGGAGUUUUGGGGAGAUUGCUAACUUUAACAUUCUGGUCUCUCUGAUGGGCCCAAAUAAUGGCCUAGAGUAGCAUAUGGACCCCUAGUAUUUAAGCAUGUGGCCCUUUUACCACUAAAGAGGCACUAAUCCAAUCUUUUAAAAGACAAAAACAUUAAUUCAAGUAUUUAAAUUUUCUGAGUGGGAUAUUGUGUAUAUAUAUAUAUAUAUAUAUAUAUAUAUAUAUAUAUAUAUAUAUAUAUAUGUAUCUUUGUGUGUUUGUGUGUAUGUACAAUAUCUUUCUGCAUGUCAUAUAUGUAGAGCCAUGUCCAUGCAUCCAAGUUUUCUCAGGUUGAUGUGUCAGAUAGUUCAAGAUACACUUGAAACUGUUCCUGUGCCCUGGUAACACUGCUUAUUCUUUCUAUAAUUUGUAACAUAGUGCAAAUAUAUUCAAAAUCUAUCUUUCUUGCAGUUUUUUAAUGCAAGACAACUUGAUGAAUUAAGAAUUUGGUGAUCCGUGUGGAAAACAAGCAUUACCAUAUCAGGCAGCACACCAAUUUUGAAAAGCACUCAGUGAUGGCUGCUAGAAUAAGUACUAGAAUUUACAGGAGUCAGUGACAUAUAGCAGCCUAUUUACUGAAGCUGCACGUGCUCUUUCUUUUUGGGACUUCUUGGACACACUGUCCCAACUGCCGGUGGAAAUGACAGUUUAAAGCAUAAAAGAUUUUGGAAGCCUGGAACCUUUCAUUCCAUCUUUUUGGUAUUUUUGGCAUGCUCAAAUGGGUGAAUUCAGAGACAUCUCAGCCACGCUGUCCCAUGUGCCAGAGGGAUGACAGUUUAAAGCAUAAAAGAUGUAUACUGCUUGGUUAGUUCUUUGGCCCUCAUGUUGUGUCUCAAAGCUCAUAAAAUCAAGAUCAUUGAGUUUUCAUGCGAGCAAGGGGCAGAAAUGCUUAGAUGGACAAAAGCUCCAUUUACUCGACAAAGAGGCUCAUGCAGUGACAUGUUGGAGGAGGACCGCACCAAUUUGCAAAGCAAAAGAACAGGGAUGAAGAAAAGAUAAGUACAACUUCUCCUGAUUUUUCUUUGGUGGCUUUCUUUCCUUCAUUUUGAUCGGUCAGUUUAGGACCCAUUCAUAAUUACAUUCAAGGGGGUCGAAAACGGAUAGCAUAUAUUUACAAAGUAAAGGUGCAGGGAAAAAGAGAAGCGGCCAAGAAAUGGUCAGUCUAGAUUCACCUUAGAUGACCACUUCUCGAGGGUAAGUUUUAACAACUUAAAAUAGCUUCAGUGGCUUUCAUUUAUUUGGGAGCUUCUAAAAGGCGAGUUCUGAUUUGUAGGAACUAAAAAUAAUGGGGCAGGAAAAAUAAAACAGUUAUAGAAGCUACAUUCACUAUGUAUGUACAUUUGAACCUUGAAAUAGCUGCUAUAUAAGCUUCUUAUCA